UACAGAGGUGGCAAGCGUUGUUCGGAAUUACUGGGCGUAAAGCGUGCGCAGGCGGUUCGUUAAGUUCGUUGUGAAAGCCCCGGGCUCAACCUGGGAACUGCAAUGGAAACUGGCGGGCUUGAGUGUGGCAGAGGGGGGUGGAAUUCCGCGUGUAGCAGUGAAAUGCGUAGAGAUGCGGAGGAACACCGAUGGCGAAGGCAGCCCCCUGGGCCAACACUGACGCUCAGGCACGAAAGCUAGGGUAGCAAACGGG
rnacentral:rRNA from 1 species